rnacentral:rRNA from 1 species
UACGUAGGUGGCAAGCGUUGUCCGGAUUUACUGGGCGUAAAGAGCGCGCAGGCGGUCGUUCAAGUCGCGUGUGAAAGCCCCCGGCUCAACUGGGGAGGGUCACGCGAUACUGAUCGACUCGAAGGCAGGAGAGGGUAGUGGAAUUCCCGGUGUAGUGGUGAAAUGCGUAGAUAUCGGGAGGAACACCAGUGGCGAAGGCGACUACCUGCCUGUUCUUGACGCUGAGGCGCGAAAGCGUGGGGAGCAAACAGGG